rnacentral:rRNA from 1 species
CCUACGGGAGGCAGCAGUGAGGAAUAUUGGUCAAUGGACGAGAGUCUGAACCAGCCAAGUAGCGUGAAGGAUGACUGCCCUAUGGGUUGUAAACUUCUUUUAUAUGGGAAUAAAAUGUUCCACGUGUGGGCUUUUGUAUGUACCAUAUGAAUAAGGAUCGGCUAACUCCGUGCCAGCAGCCGCGGUAAUACGGAGGAUCCGAGCGUUAUCCGGAUUCAUUGGGUUUAAAGGGAGCGUAGGUGGAUUGUUAAGUCAGUUGUGAAAGUUUGCGGCUCAACCGUAAAAUUGCAGUUGAAACUGGCAGUCUCGAGUACGGUAGAGGUAGGCGGAAUUCGUGGUGUAGCGGUGAAAUGCAUAGAUAUCGCGAAGAACUCCGAUUGCGAAGGCAGCUCGCUGGACUGCCACUGACACUGAGGCACGAAAGUGUGGGUAUCAAACAGGAUUAGAUACCCCAGUAGUC